rfam:Chryseobacterium koreense CCTG 49689 contig05, whole genome shotgun sequence.
AGGGAAGAUACCGAAAAUCCCAAAAAGAGUAGGUA